CCUCUCCAGAAAUUAAAGCCGAGGAGCAUCUCAAAGUGGAAAAGGUCCCCCUUCUGGUAGAAUGGAUACAAAAAGUGGAAACAGUUUAUUUUCUCAGCGGGGGCAGAAAGGACUUUUUUGUUGUUGUUGGUUUUGGUUUUUGGUUUUGGUAUUGUUGUACUUUUAUUUUUUAGCACUGCUUCAGUCGCCCAGUCGGGGGGAAUCUUUUUGUGAAGCAACAGCAGACCUGCCAACUCUCUAUUUGGAAUCUUUAUUAAAGUAUCAAGCUGAAGAAAAGCCCAGGAAUUUCAUGCCACUCAUGCCAAAUAUACCCAUUGCUAUUUCAUGGGAUUUCCAGUAACACUGCCUGCCGUGAGCCCUUUCUUCCUGAUCAUCGUCAUGACUGCAAGUCUCAAUGUACCUUCUCUAGUUCAUCUGACCCGGGAUUAUUCCCUUCCACUGAUGGACCAGAUAUAGAUGAACAUCCCACUUCACAGGAGACUCUGAUAAAUGGACUCGGUACCAGUGGGGGAUGCUAAUGACACCACCUUGCUGAUUCUGCCUACUUAUAGAAAGAAAAUGAAACUGUUUGGCUACAUCAAGACAAAAGAGCAUGAAGAUCGUAAAUGACAAAUGACAGUUCCCCGUCCCUGGAUAAUGAAGACAAACCAAAACACCCGCAAGAAACAGCAGGCUGGGAAUUCGGAGACGGCCUGAGUGAGGGCAUGGCUGUGACAGAGUCCCAUGCCGCAGUCACCUUCUUUCUGCACGGCUUCACACGCUGGCUGAGUAACCCCAGGUUACUGACUAUGGAACUUCCAUCGGGUGCAAAGCUGCAGGCAGUAAAAUUGGAACGUGCUCGGAGUUUUGUAUUUCCCAGUCCUGGGGGACUUUCUGAGACAGUGCUGUCGAAGACCAUGAAUCUCGCUAAUACAGAGUGCAGCCUCUCCAGCUAUUAAGAUGUCUCCAACAAUGUGAUUAUUUUAAAAUGGAAAAACUAAUAUCACAUGUGUUACUUAAAGAUCAACUAUUCUUUGAAAGUCACAGAGAGAAUGCAUUUGGAUUUAAAAAAAAAAUCAAAUUGUUUCUGCAUGCUGCCAAAAAUGUAGAGUGUCUCAGCUCCAGAACAAGAAAAGUCUCCGUGCCUUUUACAAAACACAUCCUUACUUGAGCUUCAGGUCAGUAGAGCAUAAAAAUGGCCAAAAGGCCAAGAUCAAUAAGCAUGAAAAACUGUUUUCUUUCUGUUUGAGCAAGUUGUAGUGACAAUGACCUGCUGGAUCUGUCUCUGGCUUUAUGCUUUCCUAGUCACAGAAAGAUUACAUUCAAGCAGAAACACAGCGAGCCCUUGUGAUGGACAGAGGGUGUGGAUGCAGCAUUGCUGCUGGCCUCCUAUUGGCUGAGAACUCACCCCACAGAAUUCAGUGAGGUUAGUAUGUAGGGAGGACUGCAACCAAACAUUAUCCAGGGCAUUUAGUGAAGCAUUUGUAUUGUAAGCACACAGAAAGCAUAAGAUCCCUUUGUUUUGUCUUUUGUAUGUUUGUUUUUGUUUUGUUUUGUUUUCCUGUUUUGUUUUGUUUUCCUCAAGACAGGAUUUCUCUGUGUAUACUCCUAGCUGUCCUGGAACUCACUCUGUAGACCAGGCUGGCCUCGAACUCAGAAUUCCGCCUACCUCUGCCUCCCAAGUGCUGGGAUCAAAGGCAUGUGCCACCAUUGCCUGGUGAGACCCCUUUUUUCUUGAUGCCUUUAAAUGGAUGAGAAUCAUCUUAGAGCCUUGAUUCCUAUGCUGAUUUAAAAUAAAAGCCAUAAUAAGAAAACAUGUGCACUCGUCUCAAGGUGUGAGCAAAUCAUACUGCAAUGUGAAAGUGAUUUGCCCAUAGAUGAUCAACAAUUCUGAGAUUUCAUAGCAGUUUCUCUUCCUUGUGACAUUUAUUUCUUUCUUUCCAUCAUUCCUAGUUUAUGGGUGGAUAGAUGGGUGUAAGUGUAUGUAUGGUGACGGUGUAGGUGUCCUGUUAGGAUCCUGAUCUAGGAUGGUCUGCCCUAUUUCCUUGAGGCAAGCUCUCUUGCUGAACUUGAGUUAGGCUAGCAACUGCCAGCCCCGAAAUCCUCUUGCCUCUGCCCUCCUCCAAGCCUGGGUUAUAGGCAUCCAGACAACCAUUCCUGGCUUUUUACAUGAGUUCUGGGACUGAAAUCCCCACUUCUCUCUGCUUGCUCAGUAUGACGUGCACACUGCUAUGCAUAUUCUCUAUUAGUAAGGAUUAUUUUAUAUUGUGAAUACUGUAGAAGUUCUUUUUGUUUGAUUGUUUUUUUCUUGUUGUGGGUGUUUUGUUUUGUUUAUUUGUUUGUUGUUUUGGAGCCAGGGUUUCUCUGUGUAACAGCCCUGACUUUUCUGGAACUCACUUUGUAGACUAGACUGGCCGCUAACUCACAGAGAUCUGCCUGCCUCUGCCUGCCAAAUGCUGGGAUUAAAGGUGUACGCCACCGCUGCCCUGAAGAAUUUCUUAUCUAAAGGAUAAAAACAACAACUGGUUUUUCAACUCAGGUACAGUGUAUGUAUCAUAUACAUGGUUUUUGCAUUGGUGUCUGUGAGUAUUGUUUAUUGAAAAGGCAGAAAGAUGGAAGAGUUUCAGAAUUUCCUACACUCUGAGGUCUAUGGAGCCCUUCCUUGAAGCAUUACGUAUGUUCUGAAAGACAGGAUCAAGAAGCCUUUAAGUCCUUAUGUAAAACCCUUGUACCAGCUCCAGUCUGUUUUCCUGGAACUGAUGGCGUGGGCACUCUUAGCUGUCCAGGAGAUAAAAGCAUUGACCAAGUGAAUCUGUAUUACCUGUGGGUCAGGACAUAUGAAGCAUGUGGAAAGGCGAGGGAGCCCACAAGUGCACGAAGCUGCACAUGGCCAGUGCCCAUCUAUGCAGAAUGUGGUUGGUGGCUCCACUACAUGCAGCCCAAACCCUAAUCAGUCAUUCAGAGUAAUCCAACAUUAAAGGUUUCCAGGAGUGAACUCUCCUAGAAGCACCCAUGCCUUUGGGAAUGACAGUGAAGGGCAGAGAGCAAAGCUGAAGGACAGUCUUUCUUUCUUUUUUCUUUCUUUCUUUCUUUCUUUCUUUCUUUCUUUCUUUCUUUAUUGGAAAGCCUCAACAAACUCUACAGGUGUGAAAAUGGAACCAAUUUGUUCGAAUCAUCUCUCACUAUUACUGAGCUACCACGUCCCCUUCACAUAGAGUCCACUCUGUGUGACAGGGAUGGGGAGGUGGAGUUACGAGCCAGAGUAGACAUUGUGAGCCUGGCAAAUCUAAGGGAAGUGUGCCAUUUGCUGAGUCUGCAUCAAGGGGAUCUCCUGUCCUCAAUCUAACCUUGAAAGCUUGUGACAAACACUGAGUGGAGAAAAGGAUGGUUGGGAAGUUUGCUCAACCUGCUUGGAGUCACACGAAUUACAGAGAUGAAAUGGGACCUCAACUCCAAACCAAGCAGUCUGGAACCCAUGGUCCUUCCUUCUACGGCCUCGUGGUGGAUUGGAGUCAGAGCUCCAGUUGUAAUACUUGUGCUCAGGGCUGUAAUGUUUUCAACUGAUGGCCGGACAUCAGAGGAGGAACAAACACGGAGCAGGAGCUUUCCCCCAAAACCUGCCCCACCCCUUAGCAUUGAUCUCAGAUAAGUUGCUCAUAAAAAUAUCAAUAUCAUUAGUGGAAAGAUACACAAGAGUAGUCGCUCUUAUUUAUAAAAUAGAGGCAUGAUAUCAGAUAAGGUCUGGCAAAAAAAAAAAAAAAAAAAAAGCCACAAUAGUUGGAGGAGAGAGUGGGUUAUCUGUAAUGGUGUGAGGGAAGCAAGGUACCAGGAACACAGAGGUCAGGAGCAUGCCCAAGGCCUCUGACUGGUCAAGGCUUCUGUCCCGAGUCUCAGCUCCACUCUCUUCUCAAAUGUUGCAGAAUGUCUGUGAGUGUUCAUGUUUUUAAGACAGGUUGAUUUGGUUGUGCUCAUUAAGCAACAUCGGCCUGAUGACCCACUCCCUCUGCUGUUUUAGAACAGUCAGUGAUGAUUGCAGAGAAGUUGACUCAUCCAUCUUGUCCAGGAGACCUAAGAGAAAAGUUUUCUAGAGUCUCAGUGAGCCUUCCUCGACAGCGUUGUCUAUGUCCUGAUUCCCAUGUCUCUCUAAGACUUCGCAUCCUCUUUAAGUCUUCUAUCAAGAACACCUGUGUUAGCCUCCAGGAGGCUGAAUAGCUUUUCAAAAAUCUAGUUGAAAGGCACACACAUUCACUCAAUAAGUACUUUCUGAGAGUACCGCUGAAGUACUUGGUCACAGACUUAAGGAGCCCUUCCUCUGCCACACUGAUUGAGCCACAUUUUGCUGUGGUCAUCUCCAGACUCUGCUUACAUCUCAGGCAAGUGAACGGUUAGACCCGUGAGCCUUGGCCUCUCAUGAGUAAUGGCAGAUGCAUGCAUGGGUGAUGACAAUAAAUGUUGUUUCGAUGCUUCCCUUGUCCCGGUGUCUAUAGGUUAAAGGCAAUGAACUUCAUCUGCAUGUGAUGUCUUCUGACCUCAUUGUUGAUGGAUGAGUGAAAACACAGUGGCCCAGCAGGUGUGAAAUAUCAGCAUCAGCAGCCAUUAUCCUCAUUGCAACGUCAGUGGAGUAACUAAUAAUCUGCCUUAUUCUCACAUGCCUGGGUGGGAGCAGGCCUUAAAUGUAAUGCUCAAAUAACCCAUCCCUGCUGCCCACUGAUCUGUUAAAUUUCCUACAUGUGUAGAAUCUGACUGUUGUCGGUCUACCGUGGGAAUUCCUGGGAACUCCCAAUGUUCUUGAGGGGCUAUAUCCAACUUGGGCAACAAUUUUAACGUCACUGGACGAGAGAAAAACAGUUGAUAAAAACAAAAUAAAUCAUGUGGGUGGGCCUCCAUCAUUUCAUUCUUCUCCCUCCUUUCUCCACCCUAAUAGCCAUUUUUCUCUUUACAGGACUUUUUUUUGUUUUGUUUUUUUUUUGUUUUUUUUUGUUUUUUUUUUUUUUUUUGUUCCUAGAACAAUUGUUAACUUGUAGCGACAGUCAGGGUCUGGAGUGUCCCCUCCUCUCUCAUAGCACCUCGUGGUCUGGAAUCUCCUCAGCACCUUUCGCACACCACAUUAGGUUAACAUAUUUCCCUGUUUUCAAACAGGCAGGCCUUGCUACAUUGUUUUGCUUCUUUGCUCCUCCCUUUUCAGGUGAAGUCUUGCUAUCACAGUCCAGGAUGCCCUAGUACUCUCUAGUCCUCCUGCCUCAGCCUCCCAAGAGCUGGAAUAUCAGGGUGUGCCACUGAAUCAAGGUCAUGACACUCUAUUUUUUUUACAACAAAACCAAACCAGUGAUUGGUUCUCAGAAUAAAGGCGUCACAGCAGCAGGAACACAACUCCUGGAUACUGCAACUCUCGGAACUACGGAUUGGGAGAGUUGCCCUUUAUCAGUCUCCAGAUAAUUCUGAUUAUUCCUUUGUGAAAAACACCUUGGGUAGUUUCCUAUUUUUCUAGAGCUACUUUCGAGCUAUCUCCUUCCUUUAUCUGUCCAAGGUCUCUAUGGAGCAAACCACUAAUUUCCAUUAAUUUCUCAGCUUUGAUUUGUUUAGAAACCCCCACCACUUACCACCAUCACCUCAAAUCCAAGUCACUAGCUAGAGGUUGGUGGCAGGACACACAUUGGAAUUAAAAACACAUGACUUGGAAUAGUAAUCCCAGAUGCUCAGCUUUGAAACGUGAGCAAAGCACUUACCUCCUUAGGCCUCAGUGCCACCAACUGAAAAGUGGGUAAAUACCGCCUCUACUUUAUUAUAGAGACGGAAUAAAAUCAUGGCAUUAGAGUAUCAUGCAUUAUGGAGUAGAAGCUUAAUAAUUGCUGACUUCAAAUGAAACGGCUACACAUAUUUGGUGGAUACUUUAGAAACAGACUUGCUAAGAUUUUGUGGACUGUGGAGUGAGAGUUUUUUUUUUUCUUUUCUAUUUUUUUUUUUGAAAGCUUAUUAAAUGUUCAUUUACUUGUUUUACAUGGAGUUUCAUUCUGUUUGUCCCACCCUCACCCCAGUGGGGUGGGAAGCCUCAAUAUUGUUUGAAAGACAUUUUUAAAAUUAUACAGAAAAUUAGCUGAAACAAUCCAAUGAAGAAUUGCCUGUGCUACUUCAUCAGUUUUACAGAUACAAUGAAUUAAAAUGGAUCAUAAAAGGGAUUCAAUGUGUCCAAAGGAAUCCUAUGGCUUGCGAUGGAACUAGAAUUCAAAAUCACAACUGUGAUUUCUACCAUUUGUAUCAUCAGGAAUUUAAAUAUUAACUAUGUUCAUAUAUAUGUAUGUAUACAUAUAUGUGUAUACACACACACACACACGGUGGUGUACACAUCAUCAGAAAAUUAAAUAUUACACACACACAUGAGGCCAGGCAUGGUGGCAUACACCUUUAAUCCCUGCACCCAAGAGACAGAAGCAGGUGUAACUGUGAAUUUGAGGCCAGCUCCUACAUAAGGAUGAAACUCCUUAUGAUGAGUCAGAGUUGCACAGUGAGGCUGUAUCAAAAAAAAAAAAAAAAAAAAAAAGCACAAAACCACACACACCCACACAUGCACACACACACACACACACUAUUGGGCACCAUCUCAGUUGUGUGUGUCUUGUAUGUCCAGAUGCACACUUGGGUCUCCUGUCUCCUCAGGCAUGUGUGUAAUCUGCUGUACUCCUGUGCACCUUUCCACGUGGCGACACCAAGCAUUCUUGUGCCAUAGGCAUCUUGUGAGAUACUCCUGGGACCAUUUCAGUGGGAUGUGACACAGUUGAAAUAUUGCUAUCCGGCUCUUAUCUGAAGCUUCAAUUGUUACUCAGCUACCUACACUACAAGCCUUCAUUUUUCUUUAUAGCCUUCUGAAAGGUUUCACUGUCAGUGAGAUUAUGGGGUGAUUUCCUAGCUUUUCAGUAUUUUCUUUCCUCUUUGGUAACAUGAUUUUUUUAAUGAGUGUUCUCCCUAGGGAAUUAAUUAUUACCUUGAAGAGUAUAUUCACAUAGUUCCAUCAAAACAACUUAAAAUUAUCAAAACCUUGACAGACACACUGUGUAGCUUUUAAAACUCAAGUCAUCUAUGCAUGGAAUUUUUUUCCCAACUCUAUUGACUCAGAAAUUUUUAUUUGGGGCAAAAGACAUUUUUUUUCUGCCGUUCCCUUAGCUCUCUUACGCUCUCUUUGUUAAGCACAGAAAGUAUUUGUGUGUGUGUGUGUGUGUGUGUGUGUUUAGUUGCUGCUAUCUAGUAGGAACAUGCUAGAGCACACAGACUUUCUUUAGUUCUGAGUGAGCUGACACCUGUAACAUGCCCAUGGCUUCUCAUCACCACACAGCCUAACUUUGUUCAGGUGAGGCACAUUAUCUGUCAACCUGAAGGUUAGUAAUGACUGUUAACUCGACAGGAUCUAGAAUCAACUGGAGACACACCUGUGGGCAUGCUAAGAGGGAGCUCUUUCUGUGUUAACUGAGGUAGGAAGACUCCUCUAACUGUAAGUGGCUCCACAUACACACAUGCAUUUUUGUAUGCCAGGAUGGUCUGUACUUUCAAACUGUAAGCCAAACUAAAGCUUUUUAAAGUUACUUUUGUCAAAUAUUUUGUUACAGCGAUGAGAAAAAAAAGAAAAAUAAACAACUGAAU
rnacentral:lncRNA from 1 species